UUCGGAAUCGAGGACCGAAAGGUCUGCGCCAGCGAUGGCCGCUUGCGAGGUGCUGCAUGGUUGUCGUCAGCUCGUGCCGUGAGGUGUCGGGUUAAGUCCCAUAACGAGCGCAACCCCUACUGCUAGUUGCCAGCGGGUCAUGCCGGGGACUCUAGCGGAACUGCCAGCGUAAGCUGCGAGGAAGGGUGGGGAUGACGUCAAAUCAGCACCGGCCCUUACGUCCGAGGGCUACACACGUGUUACAAUGGCCAGUACAGGAGGGCAGCCCACCCCGCGAGGGGGCGCUAAUCCUAAAAGCUGGUCCCAGUUCGGAUCGGAGUCUGCAACCCGACUCCGUGAAGCUGGAUUCGCUAGUAAUCGCGCAUCAGCCACGGCGCGGUGAAUACGUUCCCGGGCCUU
rnacentral:rRNA from 1 species